GACGGAGGGUGCUAGCGUUGUUCGGAAUUACUGGGCGUAAAGGGCGCGUAGGCGGCCUGGCCAGUCAGAUGUGAAAGCCCGGGGCUCAACUCCGGAAUUGCAUUUGAUACUGCCAAGCUGGAGGUCGGAAGAGGAGGGUGGAAUAUCCAGUGUAGAGGUGAAAUUCGUAGAUAUUGGAUGGAACACCGGUGGCGAAAGCGGCUCUCUGGUCCGAAUCUGACGCUGAGGCGCGAAAGCGUGGGGAGCAAACAGGAUUAGAUACCCUGGUAGUCCACGCCCUAAACGAUGUGAGCUAGACGUUGGGGGGCUUGCCCUUCAGUGUCGGAGCUAACGUGUUAAGCUCACCGCCUGGGGAGUACGGCCGCAAGGUUAAA
rnacentral:rRNA from 1 species